rnacentral:lncRNA from 1 species
CCGAAGGCAGAGUAACUUAUAUGAAAGCAAGUCCUAAUUUUUUUUAAGAAAGAUUUCAAAUGUUCGUUUCGGUACUGGCGGUAUGAACGCUUCCUCCGUAUUCGGAAUAUUGAAAGUAAAAAUUUUCUGUUUCCAGGGGUCGUGCCAGGGCAGGCGCUGUCUUCGACAUGGGACCAUUCUCUAAGCUCAAACCUCCGCGCGAUCUUUAUCAACCCUCCACCGUAGUCAAGUCUAGGCCACACCUGAAGGUGACACCCAAGAAGCACGCGCCACGCGUCCUGUCGGACUCCCCGGGGCCCAGAGCCAGAGGUCGACGAUGACCAUCGCAACUUUUAUCGCGUAGAUACUGGAGAUUUGGCAGAAGGUGAUUUUUUUCAGAUUUAAUGACUAUUUUAAAAUCAUCUUCAUUUCUAGGGCUGUUUUAAAUUCACGAAUGUACGAAUGUAUCUAUUGUUUUGAUUAUGCGAUCGUGCUGUAAUGAUAGUUGGGGCAGCAGGAAAGGCUAACUCCAGAGACACACGGGCUUUAAGGAGAACGGAAGCCUAGAAGACACUGAUCUGUAAGGGAGCUAGGUAAACCCCUCACUGAUGACUAAUCAGACACCGUCUGUGACGCAAGGAAGAAAUCAUACUUGUGAGGGAAUGUAAUAACAUCGUCAACGACAGUUCCUGGUACUGGGUUUUCACCUUUGGCAGUGAAGAUUCUUGUGUUAAUUCUCUUCGUGAUGACGACGACAACUAGUUUCGGCAGUGCAGAGCCACUAUAUACUUGCGACAGCGUGUGUCUGACUGCUUAUGCGCAAAAAUCUUUAUGCAAUUGCUUGCGACAAAACGCGAAUUGCAAUAAGUUAUUGCUCAGGUUAAACAGUUGUUAAGUUAUAAAAGUUGUAGUUAAAUUGCGUGAAACUAGUAAGUGUAAUUAACCAUGAGUUUUCUCCCUCUUUCAUUAUAGCUGUUCGACGGUGAUAAAAUCCCGUCCAUUUAACGGAGAAGGUGGAGGUCCUGGAGCCAGCUUCAAGUACUCAUCAGGCAACCUGCAAGAGAGAAUUUGUUUUUCGUAAAUGUCCACGUUACUCAGAUUUCGAGGACGCAGUUGAUUGGUCCAAUUGAUUUUUCUCAAAUAAUUUUUUAUGA